rnacentral:rRNA from 1 species
AUUGAACGCUGGCGGCAUGCUUUACACAUGCAAGUCGAACGGCAGCACGGGAGCAAUCUGGUGGCGAGUGGCGAACGGGUGAGUAAUAUAUCGGAACGUGCCCAGUCGUGGGGGAUAACGCAGCGAAAGCCGUGCUAAUACCGCAUACGAUCUAUGGAUGAAAGCGGGGGACUCGCAAGAGCCUCGCGCGAUUGGAGCGGCCGAUAUCAGAUUAGCUAGUUGGUGGGGUAAAAGCCCACCAAGGCGACGAUCUGUAGCUGGUCUGAGAGGACGACCAGCCACACUGGAACUGAGACACGGUCCAGACUCCUACGGGGGGCAGCAGUGGGGAAUUUUGGACAAUGGACGCAAGUCUGAUCCAGCAAUGCCGCGUGCAGGAUGAAGGCCUUCGGGUUGUAAACUGCUUUUGUACGGAACGAAACGGCUCCUUCUAAUAUAAGGGGCUAAUGACGGUACCGUAAGAAUAAGCACCGGCUAACUACGUGCCAGCAGCCGCGGUAAUACGUAGGGUGCGAGCGUUAAUCGGAAUUACUGGGCGUAAAGCGUGCGCAGGCGGUUAUAUAAGGCAGAUGUGAAAUCCCCGGGCUCAACCUGGGACCUGCAUUUGUGACUGUAUAGCUAGAGUACGGUAGAGGGGGAUGGAAUUCCGCGUGUAGCAGUGAAAUGCGUAGAUAUGCGGAGGAACACCGAUGGCGAAGGCAAUCCCCUGGACCUGUACUGACGCUCAUGCACGAAAGCGUGGGGAGCAAACAGGAUUAGAUACCCUGGUAGUCCACGCCCUAAACGAUGUCAACUGGUUGUUGGGUCUUCACUGACUCAGUAACGAAGCU